UCCAUGACCUCCUUUAGCCAGCUCACUAUACAGGCAGAAUAUCUGAUGCCUGGCAGGGCAUAGGUGUUGAUGGCAUGGAUCUUGUUCUUCCCAUUAAGCUUCCCCUUUGGAAUCUGGCUUAUCCUUUGGCGAUAUUUAGAGGUUGCUGUCUUCCUUGCCUUCACAUCCCAUGUGUCUGUGAGAUACCAAGUUACCUGUGGCUGCAUGUCAUGGCCCAGGCUUAGGACUCAGAUUCUAAUCUGACAUUGAAGAAGAAACUCCAACUGAAUCUGCAGUAUAUCAGCUUAAGGAGAAAACAUCCAAAAGGCUGGAGUGUCAGAGGAGGAUGAGUAAGGGGAGAGGAGAGCAGAACAGAGAAGGUCUGUUAGGCUCCUUGCCAAGCAAAUAAGUUGACAAGAAUUGAAAAAGGAAUACAAAAGAAAGACACUGAAAUGGACAUUACUAAAUAGAUGGUUAUAAGAAUCAAAUUAUCUGAAUCCACAAAGUAGUUACAACAACAAUGUUAAGCUGUGAAAGGGAAAAUACCAUCACCUCUUGCCACACAAAACAGAAGUUGGGGAGAGGGACAGACUGCUUCAUAGCUCCAGACCUGCAUUAGAAGAUUAGAUGGUGUUUGUGCAAAAUGCAGAUAACAAAAGCAAGAGUGAAGAAAAUUAAAGAGACAGCUAAAUUCCAGCAACAAAAUGGUUAAUGAAUGUGAAUCAUUGUACCUCUUAUUCUAAGAGUCUGCUAUAGUGUGAACAGCGCAAACAUCAGACAAGAUUCAGACAUCCAAUUCCAAGCUUUCAGGAAAAAAGACUCAAAUCUGCAAAAGAUGCUCCACAAAAGCUUCAUAAAAUGUAUUAAUCAAUAAUUUUCAUGGGAUACCACAGAAUAAACAUGAUCAUUUAGCAGAA